AUACAGUAUCCAUUUGAUAUUUGAUCAUCUUUUUCUGCAGGAACAGUUUUUAAAAUAAUUACUCAACGUGAGCAUGGAAUUAUUUUAGGGUAGUUUACAUUCACAGUUUCCUGAGUGACAUCUCCACAGAGGUUUCUGGUGUUUUGUUGUUGGGUAUUUUUGAAGCCAGGCAAGAGUACAAGGAGAGCGAUGGUGUCAACACCAAGGUCUGUACAGGUCACUUGACCCUGAAAAAUGUACAGAAUCCAUCUUCAUCCUGUUUUUAAUUAAAUUUUCCAUUUGUUCAU